rnacentral:rRNA from 1 species
UACGAAGGGGACUAGCGUUGUUCGGAAUUACUGGGCGUAAAGCGCACGUAGGCGGAUUUGUUAGUCAGGGGUGAAAUCCCGGGGCUCAACCUCGGAACUGCCUUUGAUACUGAAGAUCUUGAGUUCGGGAGAGGUGAGUGGAACUGCGAGUGUAGAGGUGAAAAUUCGUAGAUAUUCGCAAGAACACCAGUGGCGAAGGCGGCCGACUGGUCCGGUUCUGACGCUGAGGCGCGAAAGCGUGGGGAGCAAACAGG